AGAGCUCGUAGGUGGUUUGUCGCGUUGUUCGUGAAAUCUCACGGCUUAACUGUGAGCGUGCGGGCGAUACGGGCAGACUUGAGUACUGCAGGGGAGACUGGAAUUCCUGGUGUAGCGGUGGAAUGCGCAGAUAUCAGGAGGAACACCGGUGGCGAAGGCGGGUCUCUGGGCAGUAACUGACGCUGAGGAGCGAAAGCGUGGGGAGCGAACAGGAUUAGAUACCCUGGUAGUCCACGCCGUAAACGGUGGGUACUAGGUGUGGGUUUCCUUCCUUGGGAUCCGUGCCGUAGCUAACGCAUUAAGUACCCCGCCUGGGGAGUACGGCCGCAAGGCUAAAACUCAAAGAAAUUGACGGGGGCCCGCACAAGCGGCGGAGCAUGUGGAUUAAUUCGAUGCAACGCGAAGAACCUUACCUGGGUUUGACAUGCACAGGACGCCGGCAGAGAUGUCGGUUCCCUUGUGGCCUGUGUGCAGGUGGUGCAUGGCUGUCGUCAGCUCGUGUCGUGAGAUGUUGGGUUAAGUCCCGCAACGAGCGCAACCCUUGUCUCAUGUUGCCAGCGGGUAAUGCCGGGGACUCGUGAGAGACUGCCGGGGUCAACUCGGAGGAAGGUGGGGAUGACGUCAAGUCAUCAUGCCCCUUAUGUCCAGGGCUUCACACAUGCUACAAUGGCGGGUACAAAGGGCUGCGAUGCCGCGAGGCUAAGCGAAUCCUUUUAAAGCCGGUCUCAGUUCGGAUCGGGGUCUGCAACUCGACCCCGUGAGGUCGGAGUCGCUAGUAAUCGCA
rnacentral:rRNA from 1 species